ACUGUUGAGAUACAUAACAUGUAAAUGUUGAAUCUGCAUCUCACUUGAAAUGGUUGGGUUUGGAGAAACGGAUAGUCAAGCUUAUUGGAAUUAUUGUUAAAAAAGUAAUUUGAAGGCCUUCCCUGACUUAAAGUGGAUGCUGCUUUGGAAAGCACUGGAAAAAUGGAUCCUGUCUUUCUUAGCCAAGGACUGGUCUCUUUUCUCCAAUGUGUCCCUAACAGAGUGGUGAGGCUGGCUCUUCCCACCAGUACAGACAGAAUUUUCAAUUCACAAAUCAUCUGAAAAACAGGAAAUUUUGGAGAAACAUGCUUAUGAUAACAAACAAGGGAUCUAUCGUGUGGUAUAGAAGUUUACACAAAGAGGCAUCCGAUUUUAAGUUUUUUUUUUUGUUUGUUUUUGUUUUUUUUUUUACCGUUCUGGGCUUCUGGCUGCAUUCUAGGAAGAUCAUUCCUUAAAAGAAAUAGCCAUAUGGCUUAUAAGGGACUAUAUCUUAAGACUAUGUGUCUUCUGCAGUUCUUUGCAUAGAGUCAACGUUG
rnacentral:antisense_RNA from 1 species